UAUAUAUAGAGAGAGAGAGAGAGAGCUGGAAUGCUAUCGGUAGCAAAUGGGUUCCGUUGCUAUUUAUUUGUUUUCAAUGAUGGAGCCUCAAAAUCGACGAUCGGUACUCUUGAAUAUGAUAUAUAUCACUUGAAGUAUAUCUGAAAAUCAAAUUUCAAAUCUUUUCAAUAUCAUUAGCCUAAUGAUCAAAGAAUUUCAAAAUUUGUAAUUUUAAUGGUCGAUAUAAGAGUUUUUUCGUUUAACGGCGUAAAGAUAUUCAAAUCAAUUGAAUUUUCGUUAGAAAAUUCUUUAAACUAUUUAGAAGAAAAUUUAUACUCUUGAUCUUGAUUACAGAACUCCUAUCAUCACUUUUUAAAAAGAUAUUCAUUUUCAGCCAUUCAUUUUCAUAUUCACUUAAUGGACAAGAGAACAAUAUCGAAAAAAUGUAAAAUUUGGUUUCUAAAUACUUCAAUUGGUAUAGAUUAUAUUCAACGUUAUCGAUCGUUGAUUUAUAGGCUCCAUCAUCACAAACAAAUGGAUAGUAAUGAAAUCCGUUUGCUACUGAUAGUAUUCCAGCUCAACACUCUCUCUCUCUCUAGAUCUCUAGAUCUCUAUGUAUAUAACACCCUACCCACAUA
rnacentral:lncRNA from 1 species